rnacentral:rRNA from 1 species
UGGGGAAUUUUGGACAAUGGGCGCAAGCCUGAUCCAGCAAUGCCGCGUGCAGGAUGAAGGCCUUCGGGUUGUAAACUGCUUUUGUACGGAGCGAAAAGGUCUGCCCUAAUACGGUGGGCUCAUGACGGUACCGUAAGAAUAAGCACCGGCUAACUACGUGCCAGCAGCCGCGGUAAUACGUAGGGUGCAAGCGUUAAUCGGACUUACUGGGCGUAAAGCGUGCGCAGGCGGUUAUGCAAGACAGAGGUGAAAUCCCCGGGCUCAACCUGGGAACUGCAUUUGUGACUGUAUAGCUAGAGUACGGCAGAGGGGGAUGGAGUUCCGCGUGUAGCAGUGAAAUGCGUAGAUAUGCGGAGGAACACCGAUGGCGAAGGCAAUCCCCUGGGCCUGCACUGACGCUCAUGCACGAAAGCGUGGGGAGCAAACA